AACUCUCCCUUACCCCUCAGAUCUAAUGAUGGGUCUGAGUAGUUAAAAAAGAGAAAAGUAAAACAGAAGUGGACUUGGAGACCUCAGUGACCUCCAAGUUCAUUUCAAACAUAA
rnacentral:snoRNA from 1 species